AUAGGAACUACGAGCACAUAGUGAAGGCCCACCAGAACAACCCCCAGCAGGGAGACGAUCAGGUGUCCGACCAGGUCAAGUUCAACAUCUUCCAGAGCAUCAUGGACUCCCUCUUCCAGUCGUUCAGCAACUCCGUCUCCGUGAGCAGCUUCCAGGAGCUCUCCGCCUGCGUCUUCAGCUGGAUCGAGGAGCACUGCAAGCCGCAGACGCUGAGGGAGUUCGUGGUCGGCGUGCUGCGGCAGCUCAACGGUCAGCUCUAUUGAUGGAGGGGAAACCCCUGGACUUUACUGCCAUAAUACGGACUUUGGGCUUUCUUCGGCCUCUCAGGGUGAAGUAGACAAAGAAAAAGAACACUUCAAUCAGCCUCAGGCCGCAUCGCAGUAUUUCCGCUCACUCAAACCGAUCAGUGCCUCCCGGGCUGCGGCUGGAUUACCUCCACUUCACGGAUGGCUUAUUGGAGCGAUCGCUCUCUGACCAACGGACCGCCGAGCGCAUUCGUCUGUAAGUGAAUGUAAAUGUUAAAUGUACGUCAGCCAAGGAGACGGUGCCGUGUGCCACCGGUAGUAGUCACAAGCUGAAGCAGGUGUAAAUUAAUCCUCUCCGAUUGAUCGUAGCUGAUGGAAUUCGAGAAGGUGACGGAACCCGCUGUUACUUCAAGCAUUUCCUUGCAGCCUUAUUCUGACCCGCAGGGAUCUCAUCGGCUUCAGUGCACGUUGAGUCAGUCGUAACACUCCCGAACCGCUAAACACUCAGCAGGGGGGGGGGGAACCAAACCAUUCCACCGUUUUAUUGGGACUAGAGAUGAAUAAGCUUUCUCUAAAUGUCAUCUCUUGACAUUUCAGUGGCUUAAACGUCGCCACGACUGAUUCUUUUCGCUUUGCUCGUCAGUGGCUCUUAUGAUCAAUAUUUGUUGAUCCCUGAAACGUUGAAUCUCUCGUGAAUGUCCCCCCCCCCAGACGGAAUGUCCCGGAAAGCUUCGCUGUGGCCUCCAGCAGGUUCCCAGGCAGAGAUUUAACGCCGCUGUAAUGACUUAAAAUACGUUCA
ensembl:lncRNA